rnacentral:rRNA from 1 species
CCAAUAGCGUAUAUUAAAGUUGCUGCAGUUAAAAAGCUCGUAGUUGAAUUUCGGGACUAAUAUGUCGGUCGUGCCUCGGUACGUACUGGUAUUUUUGGUUUCUCCCUUCUGACGAACCUUGAUGUCAUUAAUUUGGUGUCUUGGGAAAUCAGGACUGUUACUUUGAAAAAAUUAGAGUGUUUAAAGCAGGCUCACGCUUGAAUACAUUAGCAUGGAAUAAUGAAAUAGGACGUUUGAUUCUAUUUUGUUGGUUUCUAGGAUUGACGUAAUGAUUAAUAGGGAUAGUUGGGGGGCAUUAGUAUUCAAUUGUCAGAGGUGAAAUUCUUGGAUUUAUUGAAGACUAACUACUGCGAAAGCAUUUGCCAAGGAUGUUUUCAUUAAUCAAGAACGAAAGUUAGGGGAUCGAAGACGAUCAGAUACCGUCGUAGUCUUAACCAUAAACUAUGCCGACUAGGGAUCGGAUGAUGUUAAUUUUUUAAUGACUCAUUCGGCGCCUUACG